GUGCAGCAGGCGCGAAUUUUUCACAAUGGGGGAAACCCUGAUGGAGCGACGCCGCGUGGAGGAUGAAGGCCUUUUGGUCGUAAACUCCUGUCAAACGGGAACAAGAAAGUGAUAGUACCGUUAGAGGAAGAGACGGCUAACUCUGUGCCAGCAGCCGCGGUAAUACAGAGGUCUCAAGCGUUGUUCGGAUUCAUUGGGCGUAAAGGGUGCGUAGGUGGCAUGGUAAGUUGAAGGUGAAAUCUCGGAGCUUAACUCCGCAACUGCCUUCAAUACUGCUGUGCUUGAGGACUGUAGAGGAGAAUGGAAUUCAUGGUGUAGCAGUGAAAUGCGUAGAUAUCAUGAGGAAGACCAGUGGCGAAGGCGAUUCUCUGGGCAGUUCCUGACACUGAGGCACGAAGGCUA
rnacentral:rRNA from 1 species